CUUGAACGCUGGCGGCAGGCCUAACACAUGCAAGUCGAACGAGUGGCGGACGGGUGAGUAAUGUCUGGGACACUGCCUGAUGGAGGGGGAUAACUACUGGAAACGGUAGCUAAUACCGCAUCCCCUCGGAUGUGCCCAGAUGGGAUUAGCUAGUAUGUGGGGUAAAGGCUCACCUAGGCCACUAUCCCUAGCUGCUCUGAGAGGAUGACCAGCCACACUGGAAAUGAGACACGGUCCAGACUACUACGGAAGGCAGCAGUGGGGAAUAUUGCACAAUGGGCGGAAGCCUGAGGCAGCCAUGGCGAGUGUAUGAAGAAGGCCUUCGGGUUGUAAAGUACGUGCAGCGGGUAGGCGUUACCCGCAGAAGAAGCACCGGCUAACUCCGUGCCAGCAGCCGCGGUAAUUC
rnacentral:rRNA from 1 species